AGUGAACGCUGGCGGUAGGCCUAACACAUGCAAGUCGAACGGCAGCACAGUAAGAGCUUGCUCUUACGGGUGGCGAGUGGCGGACGGGUGAGGAAUACAUCGGAAUCUACUUUUUCGUGGGGGAUAACGUAGGGAAACUUACGCUAAUACCGCAUACGACCUACGGGUGAAAGCAGGGGAUCUUCGGACCUUGCGCGAUUGAAUGAGCCGAUGUCGGAUUAGCUAGUUGGCGGGGUAAAGGCCAACCAAGGCGACGAUCCGUAGCUGGUCUGAGAGGAUGAUCAGCCACACUGGAACUGAGACACGGACCAGACUCCUACGGGAGGCAGCAGUGGGGAAUAUUGGACAAUGGGCGCAAGCCUGAUCCAGCCAUACCGCGUGUGUGAAGAAGGCCUUCGGGUUGUAAAGCCCUUUUGUUGGGAAAGAAAAGCAGUAGGUUAAUACCCAGCUGUUCUGACGGUACCCAAUGAAUAAGCACCGGCUAACUUCGUG
rnacentral:rRNA from 1 species